rnacentral:tRNA from 1 species
UGAUUAUAUAGCUUAAUAAUUAAAGCUUUGCUUUGAAGGGGCAACAAUACAAAUAUGUUUUAAUCAG